rnacentral:rRNA from 1 species
AUUGAACGCUGGCGGCAGGCCUAACACAUGCAAGUCGAGCGGAGCGGCGGACGGGCGAGUAAUGCCUAGGAAUCUGUCUGGCAGUGGGGGAUAACGUCCGGAAACGGGCGCUAAUACCGCAUACUAUCAGACGAGCCUAGGUCGGAUUAGCUAGUUGGUGGGGUAAAGGCCUACCAAGGCGACGAUCCGUAACUGGUCUGAGAGGAUGAUCAGUCACACUAGAACUGAGACACGGUCCAGACUCCUACGGGAGGCGGCAGUGGAGAGUAUUGGACAAUGGGCGGAAGCCUAAUCCGGCCAUGCCGCGUGUGUGAAGAAGGUCUUCGGAUUGUAGAGCACUUUAAGUUGGGAGGCGUUACCAACAGAAUAAGCACCGGCUAACUUCGUGCCAGCAGCCGCGGUAAUUC